rnacentral:lncRNA from 1 species
UUGAAACAAGGUGAUUGCAUUCUUGAUUUAGGAUUCUUUUGGUCUUUUUCUUGGCCUUUUUGGUUUGUUGCAGCCUGCAGGAAGUUAUGUGUAAACUAAAUUGUGUUAUUAUUUAGACAAGUCUAGAGGGAAAAAAAUUGAUCUGUCCUUCCCAACUUAGGCGUCUUAAGUUGUUAAAUAUGGUAUCCGGGCUAGGUUCAUCCCAAUUUGUUGUUCACCGAUGUUGGACCCCAUUAUGAGUGUUCACACUCCAGUUGAUGUCUGGUCGUGCGGGGAGUGUUAAGAAGUUCCACAAUGAUAAGGGAUGAAAAGUCAGUCUCCUUAUUUCUAUCUCAACUUACAAUGACCUAACAUGUGUUUCUCAUAGGUCAUUUAGUUCUAUAUUGAAAUUUAAUUAUUAGACUUGGUCAAUCUGUGAAUAGUCACUACAUAAAAUCAUUACUUUUCUGAUUAAACACUUGAAAGGGUCUUUAGUCUUGCCGAUUAUUACUAAUCUUGACAGCUUAAAUUCCUCAAAAUUUCCAUCAAAAUAAUCUUAUAAGAUUAUAUUAGCAUCCAACAAAAUGUGUGACCAACAGAGGCAGAGCCAGAAUUUUUAGUUUAUGACAUCUGAACAUAAGAUUCUACCAAAAUUCAUUUGAUUUAUGGGUUUGACGCAAUUAUUUAUACUUAUUUAAUGAAUUUCUCGAUAUAUAUAUAUAUCUACGUAUAUGUAUUGAAUGAAUCCGUAAUGUGUACUCUAGGUCCGCCCUCGGUGUGGAAAUAGCUUGGAAAAUUUAGCUGGAAAUGUCGAUCAGCAUAUGCAAAAAGAGCAAAAAAACAAGGAUUUAUGCUUUUUAUAGUGGCCAGCACUAUCAAUCUAUUUUCCAUAGAAAUUUCACUAGAAUGUUUUUUUCUAAAAAAAAUAAAAUUCUUGGACUUGUUUAACGUGGUCACUUUUCAUUCCAAAAUUCUAUGUUGUCUAGUUGCUUUCAAUCACCAUAGUACAUUUAUAUCCCC